rnacentral:rRNA from 1 species
CUAGAAAGAUUCCGGUUGAUCCUGCCGGACCCGACCGCUAUCCGGGUGGGACUAAGCCAUGCAAGUCUAGUGGGGCACCUAAACGUCCCAUGGCAGACUGCUCAGUAACGCGUGGUCAACUUACCCUAAGGAGGGGUAUAACCUCGGGAAACUGAGGACAAUGCCCCAUAGUUGAGAAGGCUUGGAAGAGUUUCUCAUCGAAAGAGUGUCAUAAACGGUUGACAUUUCGCCAUAGGAUAGGACCGCGUUCGAUUAUGGUUGUUGGUGGGGUAACGGCCUACCAAGCCUAUAACCGGUACGGGCCCUGAGAGGGGGAGCCCGGAGAUGGGAACUGAGACAAGGUCCCAGGUCCUACGGGGCGCAGCAGGCGCGAAAACUCCGCAAUGCGCGAAUGCGUGACGGGGUUAUCCCGAGUGCCGUCCGAUGAGGAUGGCUUUUCUUCAGUUUAAGGAUCUGGAGGAAUAAAGGGGGGGCAAGACUGGUGUCAGCCGCCGCGGUAAUACCAGCCCCCUGAGUGGUAGGGACGAUUAUUUGGCCUAAAGCGUCCGUAGCCGGCUUAGCAAGUCUUUCGUCAAAUCCGACGAUUCAAUCGUUGGAACGCGGAAGAAACUACUUUGCUUGAGGGCGGGAGAGGUCGACGGUAGUCCCAGGGUAGGGGUGAAAUCCUAUAAUCCUGGGAGGACCACCAGUGGCGAAGGCGGUCGACUAGAACGCGCCUGACGGUGAUGGACGAAAGCUGGGGGAGCGAACCGGAUUAGACACCCGGGUAGUCCCAGCUGUAAACGAUGCGAGCUGGGUGUUGGAGCAACUACGGGUUGCUCCAGUGCCGCAGAGAAGUUGUUAAGCUCGCCGCCUGGGAAGUACGGCCGCAAGGCUGAAACUUAAAGGA